rnacentral:tRNA from 1 species
CGCUAGGAAGCUAAAUAGGGGAUAUAGCAUUGGCCUUUUAAGCCAAAGAUUGGUGAUUUCCGACCACCCCUAGCGA